AUCAACUAUUACCUCGAUUCACCAAAUUCUAUGACAGAAUCAGUUCAUUUCUAUACACCCACGCUUCCUGAAAAUAUUAGCAAAGGCCAAUAAAUAGAGAAUGCUUCACAUUACCAUCUAUGCACUAUGAAGAUAUUUCAAAACAGGACACUGCGCAUGACCAAUUCUGAAAGGAAUGCCGAGACAUACUUCAGCUGACUUCAGCAGUUUUAUUCAAGAGGUCUGAAUGUCAUCUCAGAUUUACAACUGAAUGACGAUCAACAGACAAUGAUGGGCCAGCAGUUAUCCACAAUGUCUGCACCCAUCAGUGUGUCACUGUGUCACACUCCUGAACCGAGUUCAACAACUCACUUUCAAGUUCACAUGAGUCAAGUGACAACAUUUGAAUUGUUAAUUACGCAUCGUUUCCCCCUUCAGGACGAAAUCAAGACCAGCCGUGGAAUGACUUUUAAUCCCGUUCCAUUUGGCUCCGGGAAUCGGUUUGAAUCAACGACCAACGACUCACCAAACGUCAAAUCGAUUUCGUUGGCGGUUUCUCACCUGCCAAGGUGGACAAUGUGGAAGUUGUGAUGAUGGCAGACUUCGCAACUACCGCCGUAUCAGCCAAUAUGAACUCCGGACCGGUAAAACUGCUCAAAAUCGUGAAAGCGGAAAUACAGGCAGUUUCGGGCACUAAGUACAAACUAAACCUCGAGAUAAGAUUGCAGUAGAAUAUUUUCAAAAAAGCCAAUUGUUCAAACGGUUCGAAAUUGAAGAUUUAUUCAUUCACUGAAUAAAUGAGUCAAAUGGCUCAAAUGUCAAUUGACCCAUCCCCAGCGACGUCAACCUGCAGAAAGAAAAAGGCCGUUUCUAUGGCCUUCAGACUCGAAGAUCGCGGAGAUAAUUACGUAAACUGGCAUGGGGUGGCGUAGAGGUUGGGUGAGAAUGACACGUUUUUCAACAUUAUCAAGCAGACCCAUCCCCAGCAACGUCUACCUAAAGAAGGAAAUAAAGGCCAGUUUGCAUUUCAAUCGAAGGUCAUGGAGAUCAUUACGAAAAGGUGUCAUACAGUGGAGAAGAGGUUGGGUGAGAAUGGGACGUUUUGCAUCAUUAUCAAGAAGGUAAAAUAGCCGCAAGGCUUGAGAGGAGGGGUGAGAAAAAGUCGUAUAAAAGGCGAGAGAAAAGUCGACAGGGAUCAGUCGAGUGAGUGUCUCCGACACGGCAACAGCUGCAUUCUUCGUCGUAAUAUCAGUUCGCAAUUAUGGGUAAAUAUUCAUUUUUAAUUUUGAUUCGUAAGUCUAUUGUAUCUUGUUUUGAGUUGUUGAUACGACUAGUAUCUUCGAAAAAUAAUAUCCAAUUGUUUAUUUUAUUGCAUAGUUAGUUAUGGAGUUGUGUUGCUGUUGGGUGUUGUAUCGUUGAUGUCGACCACGAGAGAAAAUCUUUUAGAAGGAAAGAAAAAAGGCAACGGAAGUCAAUCGAGUGAGCAUCUCCGACCAUGCAGCAGCUGCAUUCUUCGUCGUAUUAUCACUUUAUCAGGUCACAAUCACGGUCUGGCUGAUGCUGUCGUGCUGCUAUUGGUUGUUGUAUCGUCGAUGGCUGGGUGGACGGCUGGUGUUCCGAUGUCUCCUGGAUAAGGCGGAUACCAAACCGCAACGCCACCGCCUUACUACACAACAACAUACGCAACGACCAGUUACUACACCGAGGUUGCACAGUUGGGUUUACAGUUAAGCCACCAAGGAUCCAGAUUAUUACACCACAACUUGUGCUGCUCCCCGAGCUACACUACGAAAGCGCUAGAGUACUACACCGAGGCUCCCAAGUACUACACCACCAAGGCACCUGAGAUUACGCAACUACUUAUGCUGCCCCAACCAACGACACCGAGGCUUCAGCUUAUUACACAACCAAAGCUGUCGAAUUCUACACUGGAACGCCCAAGUACGACAGAAAUCAGUCUAGCUAGCUUCUCCGACACCCAACACGGCAGCCCUGAAGUUUCGAAUAAACUUCGCUUCAAACAGUGGAACGGCAAAGAAUGAAGACGAAUUCUACUGCAAUCGCGUCGAAUUGAAUAGUAAAGACAACACAUUCGUACGUGUACACCGCGUCGUUAACUUGACAUUGUUGGUCGGAAAGCCGAACUUGACGAUGGCCGUACCAUCACCUACGACAAGUGCGUUAUUGCCACAGGUAGUAAACGAAAAUCUUUUCCAAUCCCUGAGCGGUGCCCUUAAAGAUGUCCACGAGCACGUCACGCUGUCCCGCAACAUCGAUGGCGCUAACACAUGCCGAGUCCUCUAAAUGUUUAACCAAUGGACAACCGAGAAGGUGAAAGCGGAAAGUGUUAAUGUUUUGCCCAAAGCUUAUGUUGAGGCUGCAACUUUGGAAGACGACGAGGUCGCAUUGACCUUAAACGAUGGUUAAAAGCAGAUUCUAACUAUGUCGUCGCUGUUGUCGGUUUCAACGCAAACACGGAUUUGGCUGUCGCUUCUGGUUUGGAAAUAGAUUCCAAUUUUGGUGGUUAUCGAGUCAAUACCGAGCUCGAAGCACGAUCGGCCGUCUGGCUGGCCGGAGAUGCUGCCUUCUUUUGUGAUAUCAAAUUGGGUCGUCGUCGUAGGGAAUAUCAUCACUUUGCUGUUGUAUCAGGGUGAUUGGCUGGAGAGAACAAUACUGGCAAGGAAACAUGGAUGAACAACUGCAGUGUACUCUUCCCAAGUGCAUUCUUCUUCGUAUUAUCAGUACGCAAUCGGUUGAUGAUGAUGUCGUGCUGUUGCCGUUUGUCGUAUCGUUGAAGGCUGGGUCGAUCACUGGUGUACCAAUGUCUCCUGGGUAUGGUGGAUACCAAAGCACCACACCGCUGCCUUACUACACAACGACAACAUUCGCACCAACCGGUUACUACACUGAGGCUCACAAUUACUACAUCACCAAGGCUCCAGAAUAUUACACCGCAGAUAACGCUUCCCCGAGCUACAUCAUCAAAGAUCCUGAGUACUACACCGAGGCUCCCAAGUGCUACACCACCAAGUCACCGGAGUACUACACGUAUGUUGCCCCAGCUUACUACACCGAGAGGUUUCCAAGAAUUAUUUAGUUCCUAGCUACUACACCGAGGCUCCAACUUAUUACACCACCAAAGCGGUUGAAUACUACACCGAGACACCCAAUUACUACACCACCAAGGCUCCAGAGUAUUACACCACAACUUGUGCUACCCCGAGCCACUACACCGAAGCCCCGAAGUAUUACUCUGCCCCAAGCUACACAACUGCAACUGAGGCGGCCAAGUAUUACGCAGCCCCGACUAACUACACAGCGGAUGUUCCUUCGUACUACGUUGAACCGGAAUACUACACCGAGGCUCCAGUUUACUACACCACAACCUACGCUACACCUACUACACACUACACCGAGGCCCCUAUGUACUACACUACCAAGGCACCCGAGUAUUAUAAAACUACUUACGCUGCUCCGACCAACUACACCGAAGCUCCGAAGUAUUACUCUAUCCCGAGUUACUACACCACUAAGGCACCUGAAUAUUACACCACACCCUACGCUUCUCCAACUUACUACAGGGACGUUUCUGAAUACUAAAGUCGAAUUUUCAAUUUUAAUAAUUAUGUUCAUAUUUGUCGGUCAUAUCACAAUAAUUACUAGUCACUGGGAAUUGUUGAUCUUUAAAGAGAAAUAAAAUUUUGUUAACCUGGGUAA